CAGACUGUGGAAGCUUUGUUCUUUUGCUCUUUGCAACAAAUCUUGCUACUGCUCACUCUUUGGGUCCACGCUGCCUUUAUGAGAUGUAACGCUCACCGCGAAGGUCUGCAGCUUCGCUCCUGAAGCCAGCGAGGCCACAGCCCACAGGAGGAAGGAACAACUCCAGACAUGCCACCUUAAGAGCUGUAACACUCACCGCGAGGGUCUGCAGCUUCACUCCUGAGCCAGCGAGACCAUGAACCCACCAGAAGGAAGAAACUCCGAACACAUCCGAAAGUCAGAAGGAACGAACGACUCCAGACGCGCCACCUUAAGAGCUGUAACACUCACCGCGAGGGUCCGCGGCUUCAUUAUUGAAGUCAGUGAGACUAAGAACCCAGCAAUUCUGGACACGGUUGUUCUAUACAGUAGAUGAGAAAACUGAAGCACAAAGAAGUGGCUUACUCUGGUUACACAACACGUGUGACAUUUGGUGCCAUGACUCGGAUUGGGGGACCUCCUUUGGGAGAUCAAUCCCCUGUCCUCCUGCUCUUUGCUCCAUGAGAAAGAUCCACCUACGACCUCUGGUCCUGAGACCAACCAGCCCAAGGAACAUCUUGCCAAUUUAAAAUCUGAUCUUCCCUGCGGACGGACAUUUUUAUGUAAAGGAAUGUGAGAUGGGUCCUUGAGGAGCAUCUUUCUGGAGAUUAUUCCAUUUUUAGUUAAUCGAGGAAGUUCCCAAACAGCAUGGAAUGGUUGCUCUAUAAGUGAAAAUGAUGGACAGCAAGUGCUUUAAAGAUGAUCUAUGGAAAUGAAACCUUUCCCACCGAAAAUGUACAGGAGGAAUAUGUCUUCAGAAACUCUCAACCAGAUACAGGAGCAACCUUCAAUCUCUCCUACCUUUUCUUUGAAUAAACUUUGAUUUAUUUUUCAUCAAGAUAGCUUUUUCCCAACACUGAGUUUGAUUUUAUGGUUUUCUAAU